GACGAACGCUGGCGGCGUGCCUAAUACAUGCAAGUCGAACGCAGUGGGGACGGGUGAGUAACACGUGGGUAACCUCCCAUCAGAGGGGAUAACACUUGGCAACAGGUGCUAAACCGCUACGGAGGGAUGGACCCGCGGUGCAGUAGCCAGUGGGUGAGGUAACGGCUCACCAAGGCAACGAGGCAUAGCCGGCCUGAGAGGGUGAUCGGCCACACUGGGACUGAGACACGGCCCAGACUCCUACGGGAGGCAGCAGUGGGGAAGCUUGGGCAAUGGGCGAAAGUCUGACCGAGCAACGCCGCGUGAGUGAAGAAGGUUUUCGGAUCGUAAAGCUCUGUUGGUAGGGAAGCGGUAUCUAACCAGAAAGCCACGGCUAACUACGUGCCAGCAGCCGCGGUAAUUC
rnacentral:rRNA from 1 species